CCUACGGGCGGCAGCAGUGAGGAAUAUUGGUCAAUGGGCUUACGCCUGAACCAGCCAAGUCGCGUGAGGGAAGACUGUCCUAUGGGUUGUAAACCUCUUUUGUCAGGGAGCAACGCCUGCGACGUGUAGCCGGACUGAGAUUACCGGAAGAAAAAGCAUCGGCUAACUCCGUGCCAGCAGCCGCGGUAAUACGGAGGAUGCGAGCGUAAGCGGGAUUUAUUGGGUUUAAAGGGUGCGUAGGCGGAAGGCCAAGUCAGCGGUAAAAUCGCGGGGCUCAACCUCGCCCCGCCGUUGAAACUGGCGUUCUUGAGUGGGCGAGAAGUAUGCGGAAUGCGUGGUGUAGCGGUGAAAUGCAUAGAUAUCACG
rnacentral:rRNA from 1 species